AUUGAACGCUGGCGGCAUUCUUUACACAUGCAUGUCGAACGGUAACAGGUCUUCGGAUGCUGACGAGUGGCGAACGGGUGAGUAAUGCAUCGGAACGUGCCCAGUAGUGGGGGAUAGCCCGGCGAAAGCCGGAUUAAUACCGCAUACGACCUGAGGGUGAAGGGGGGGGAUCGCAAGACCUCUCGCUAUUGGAGCGGCCGAUGUCAGAUUAGCUAGUUGGUGGGGUAAAGGCCUAACAAGGCAACGAUCUGUAGUUGGUCUGAGAGGACGACCAGCCACACUGGGACUGAGACACGGCCCAGACUCCUACGGGAGGCAGCAGUGGGGAAUUUUGGACAAUGGGCGCAAGCCUGAUCCAGCAAUGCCGCGUGCAGGAAGAAGGCCUUCGGGUUGUAAACUGCUUUUGUCAGGGAAGAAAUCUUCUGGGUUAAUACCUCGGGAGGAUGACGGUACCUGAAGAAUAAGCACCGGCUAACUACGUGCCAGCCGCCGCCGUAAAAC
rnacentral:rRNA from 1 species